rnacentral:ncRNA from 2 species
UGAAUCCGCGCGGGAGAGUUCCGGGUCCACACCCGGGCGCCGAAGGAGCAAGUUCCUCCCUUGAAUCUCUCAGGCCCCGUACCGCGUGGAUGAG